UCCAGCGCCACUCCCACCCCACCCGACUGCCCCCACCCAUGAAGCCUUGGCGCCCCACCCCUCUCCGGUGGCUCCUCUACAAGACAUCAGGCUGGCUGCCUGUGCCACUCUGGGGCUCCCGGUUUUGCCUUCUAUCGGAGCUAGGCUGCCCUGGUGCUAUGUUACUCCCGCUACCGCUCCACACCCGACUUUAGACCGGGGUCCCUUUCUGUUCUUUCACCCCUGCCGCCUACGGGACCGUGACUCCUCCCCACAAUCCUCACUACAGAGCAAGAAGGGAGUUGCGUCUGCACCACAGACUAAGUAGGACUUUCAGAAGUCUGGGCUGGGAAUCCCCUCCUCUUACUGGAGGUGGCUGGACGACGAAGUCUGCCUUGGACGCAUGUCUCUGGAUGGAUUUGCGAAUCUCCAUCUGUUCCCAGCAGAAGUCCUUCAUACACCCAGGCAUUGAGGGCCAAGGCCUUUCUGGAAACCUCCUGGAACCUACAGACUGUCGUCUAGAGGCAAGUGUGGAGAGGCUUGCUGAGAACCAGGCUAGACCCCAGGGCUAAGGUCUGGAUGGGAAGGCGCAAUUCUUCAGAAGCAGCUCCAUCACGGAAACAGGUCCUUGCUCGAGACUCGCAAACUUGAAUUCUCCCAUAGUAUAGGCAGACAGUACAAGGCCCUCGGGGACAACGGGAACUAGGGAGAUUCUGAGAGACCACCCUCGGGAAUGGUGAGAGUGGAUUGAAGAUGGCUGCUCUGAGCACAAGACAGGGGAGUGACUGCUGGAGGCUGCAGCUGAAAGAUCCCGAGAGCGGGGGUGUGGGCAGAGCACUGUAUAAGCUGCCCCCGAACACAAUAAAGUGGGCAUUCCUGUAUCAAGGAGGACCCGUGUCCCUGUAUCUCUGUCUCUGUGUGUAUGUUCCCGGCUCGCGUACCAUCUGGUACUGCAGGCGCUACAGGACAGUACCGUAGCAGGUAGUGUAGCUCAUAGUGUGGAGAGCAGAGGUUGCUCUACACUCCGGGAGUCCUCUAGAGAAGUGGUUUUCAACCUGUUGGUUAUGACCCUUCAUGGGCCCAAUGAUCCUUUCACAAGGGUCACCUAAAACCAUUGGACAUAGCAGAUAUUUGCACUGA